rnacentral:rRNA from 1 species
GACGAACGCUGGCGGCGUGCCUAACACAUGCAAGUCGAACGAAGUAAGUUGCUUCACCAAGUGUUGAAUAGCUACCCCCAAGCGCAUUUGCCAAAGGGUAAGCAAAAAGUACUAUCAAUUAAAUAAAAUGGUGAAACAAAAGAAUAGCGAAGAAGAAGCAAAUGCGCUUCACGCUAAUUCCAAGUACCAACACAAAACAAAUUCAAUGUUUGGUGAAGCAACUUGCUUAGUGGCGGACGGGUGAGUAACGCGUGAACAAUCUGCCCCGUACAAAGGGAUAGCCUCGGGAAACCGGGAUUAAAACCAUAUAACACUUAACUGCCGCAUGGUAGUGAAGUCAAAUCGAUUAAGAGGUAUGGGAUGAGUUCGCGUCUGAUUAGCUAGUUGGUGAGGUAAGGGCGUCACCAAGGCGACGAUCAGUAGCCGGCCUGAGAGGGUGAACGGGCCACACUGGAACUGAGACACGGUCCAGACUCCUACGGGAGGCAGCAGUGGGGAAUAUUGCACAAUGGA